rnacentral:lncRNA from 1 species
UUAAUUGAAAUUAAUCCAAAAGGGCAAGAUUAAAAGAAACUUUUAAUUGUUUAGGGGUCUAAUUGCCGAAUUUCCAAAGUCCAGGGGUCAAAUUGAAAAUGUCCAUGGCUGCUUGAAAUGUCGCCGUUACUGGUGGAAUCCAUUGCUGCCGAAACAUCGUCGUUGCUGGUGAAACAGCCGUGUUCGUCUUCUGCAUCCCGAUUCAACAGGCUGAAGAUCUGCAACGAAGUUGAUCCAAUCGUGGACCAUGUCUAUCGCCCACGAUCUCGUCGGGGAAGAGAAGAGUCC